rnacentral:rRNA from 1 species
AAUCUUCCGCAAUGGGCGAAAACCUGACGGAGCAAUGCCGCAUGGUGGAUGAAGGCCUUCGGGUGGUAAACACCUGUCAAUAGGGAGAAAAUUUUGGCCGAUCUACAGAGAAAGUCCGGGAUAAGUACGUGCCAGCAGCCGCGGUAAUACGUACCGGACAAACGUUAUUCGGAAUCACUGGGCUUAAAGAGUACGUAGGCUGCCUUGAAGGUGAGAUGUGAAAUCCCAUGGCCUAACCAUGGAACUGCAUUUCAAACCACAAGGCUUGAGGGAGACAGGGGUAAGCGGAACUCACAGUGGAGCGGUGAAAUGCGUUGAUAUUGUGAGGAACACCGGUGGCGAAGGCGGCUUACUGGGUCUCUUCUGACGCUGAGGUACGAAAGCUAGGGUAGCGAACGGGAUUAGAUACCCCGGUAGUCCUAGCUGUA